UUAUUUAGUUUUGGUAAAUACAUAAUAACUAUUUUUAUUUUUCAUAUACACUCACAGAUAUAAUUUAAUUUUAUAUUAUAGUGUUAAAUAUUAAAUAAGUAUUAUAAGAUACUAUAGAAAUAAAAUAAAAAAUUUAGUAUAACUUAGUGCCAGCAACUGCGGUUAGACUAUAUAAUUUAGAUAUUAUUUAAUAUUAAGAUAUAAAUUAUAAUUAGAAUGAAUGAAUAUUUUAAAAUUUUAUUGGUAAAAUAUUAACAAUUAUUAUUAUUUUCUUUAUAAAAUUAAUAUAGUAUAUAAAAGAUUAAAAUAGGAUUAGAUACCCUAGUAUUUUUUAUUUAUACAAUAUCUAUAGUUAGUAUCAGUUACAAAUGUAAAAUCUAAAAAACUUGACGGUAUUUUAUUUAAUUAGAGGAAUCUGUUUGUUUAACGAUACACCACGAAGUAUUCUACUUAUAUUUAUAUAUUUAUAUUUUUAUACCGUUAUUUGAAGAAUUCUUUUAUUAAAGAAUACUAGAAAUUAAUUAAAUAGAAAUUAAAUCAAGGUGAAAUUUUAUAUGAGAUGAAUAAUGGAUUACACUAAGUAAGUACUUAAAUUAGAGAACGAAUUUUAUGUAAUUUCGAGCAAAAAAGAAUUUAUAAGUAUAAUAUUACAAAAACUUUUAUAUUUGAAUUAACUAUAAAAUAUGUACAAAUCGCCCGUCGCUCUCUUAUUGAGAUAAGUCGUAACAAAGUAAAGUUAACGGAAGAUAAUUUUAG
rnacentral:ncRNA from 1 species